AACCAUUCUAAAAGUGGGAAGACUAACUUUGAUAUCACUAUUAGCACCAACAGAACGGUUUUCAGAACCAGUACUGCUCAUAUGGUCGCUUAUAUCAAUCAACGUAUCAGAAUGACCAUCAGGACUAGCUUCAUCAGCAAAAUGAAAGCAGCGUUGUAUGAAUUCGCUAACUGCGGAUAGAUACUCAUCACCCAUAAACCUAGUUAACCAAAGAAUAGCU